ensembl:rRNA 5S_rRNA 5S ribosomal RNA
GUCUACGGCCAUGUCACCCUGCAUGCGCCCAUCUCCUCUGAUCUUGGAAGCUAAGCAGGGAUGGGCCUGAUUAGCGCUUGCAUGAGAGAUGCACCUUUUAUGAGUUACCUCCCUGAAAGAUGGCUUUGUUGUCA